UACGAAGGGGGCUAGCGUUGUUCGGAUUUACUGGGCGUAAAGCGCACGUAGGCGGAUCGUUAAGUCGGGGGUGAAAUCCUGGAGCUCAACUCCAGAACUGCCUUCGAUACUGGCGAUCUCGAGUCCGGAAGAGGUGAGUGGAACUCCUAGUGUAGAGGUGGAAUUCGUAGAUAUUAGGAAGAACACCAGUGGCGAAGGCGACUCACUGGUCCGGUACUGACGCUGAGGCGCGAAAGCGUGGGGAGCGAACAGG
rnacentral:rRNA from 1 species